GGGGUUUUCAAUAUUAUAUCACUUCUCACAUGACUAAAACUCUCGUUCAAGCCUAUUAGAAACUGUAACAGGCGUUGAUUUCUCAACAAUUCGAUCGAAGGUCUAGAUGCCUCACAACUACAGCCAGCAGUGGGUACUAAUGCAUCUAUCUCAUCCCAGUAAUCCUUCAUUCUAGAAAAAUAGACUGUAACUGAAUUUGUACCUUGAGUUAAUGAUGCAAUGUCCUUCCAUAGUUGAUAGAUUCUGGUGAGAUUGGAUUUGUC
rnacentral:lncRNA from 1 species